UCCUUGUGCAAUACCAGAGUUAUAUCAAUAUAUAGUUAAUACAAUAGUUAUGACCAAACUAAACAUCAAUAACAGACACUUUGGUAUUAUAAGAAAGCAUUGCGUGAUGUUAAUUGCGGGUUAGCGCCAUUCUCAAACUGGUUCCGGGAAUGGCGUUUGCCUGUUAGUAAGAAAUGCAACUUAAAACACGUGAAUUUAGAAUGUAGUGGUAUUCAUAUCGAAUGGAAAGGCACAUGUAUGCAGUAUUAUUUAUACAAAAUGGACAUCUUAACUGCUUUAUUAUAUCGCAAGCGCCUGAUUUCGUAAAGUCAUUGUUUAAUCCACAAUCAUUUUUUUAGUUAAAACACGGACUCUAGAUGAGAGUAAAUAUACGCUCCGUGGUUAAACUACUUUCAAAACUAGGGAAGUACAAGACAUUUUCCUUAUAUAUAUUUAAUACUCGUAAAUUGAGAUGACACGAUUGUUCCUCUUCAUCUAGAGCGGGUGUACCUAUUUCCGAACACUUAAGCCACUUAUAAUGAUGUUCGGAAUUACGAUCACUUUCAAUCAAAGCGAGACAAUAAUCAACUAGAUAUGUGCAUAUGAUAUACUUAAGUUCAAUAUAGAAUUAUAAAAUGGUCCAACCAAAAAGAAAUUAUUUACAAAGCAUACGGGUAUCCGACUGUUCCUAUUCCGAAAAUAUGUUCGUAAUUCCGAACCGAAGUGUUCGUAAUUCCGAACAAGAUGACCUUUUUAAAAUAAAAAUCCCGACGAUUCCAUUUAAUUGAAACAGUUUGAAAAAUACCAACUUAGAAACAAGUUCUGUAAUAAAAACGAUAACAUGUAAGUUCGAUAAAUGACAAGGUCGUUAAAAAAAGUAAUAUAGAGCAAUAGAUCUGGAGGGUUCGGUAAAUUAAUAUUUUUUAAAAACGUCAACAAAACAAGGAUAUUAACACGCAUUUAGAUACUUUACAGUUAUUCACGCCCUUUGUUCAGACAUAUUCAACUCUUACCUUUUUACCGAACUUUUCAUUUACCAAACUCUCCGUCAAUUAGUGAAAAUGCAAAGAACACUGUAAUCCAUUACCACAAUAGGAUUUUUGUUAUUUAUUCAAAUUACACAAAUAAACAUUACAUUUAAAAAGUAAAUUGUUGGACUGACGGAUAUAAUUACAUACGAAUAUUUUGGCGAAAAUCAACCAGUCUCUAUUCAAACCAGGCAGCGUAAACGUUAAUGUCAGAAGUCGCGUUGAUGUCAUCCACAAGUGUGAAACAUAAUUUUAGUGAUGUUACGUUUAUAAUUUCGGUAACUUCAAACGAAUGAAUGUAUCAUUUUAAGUCCCCAAUAUUUAAUGCUUAAUGGCUUGAGCAUUAAAUACAUAUUAGCUAUCUAAAUACAAACAUCAGUUAAUUUGAUACUCAAUGCAAGUGAUUUCGUUCCAAAGAAUUAUUUUAUGUCUAUUUUACUCAUUUCAUAUUUCAAAUAUAAAUUCUAUCAUGCAAAACGCAGUGUUGCAAAACGCACACUUUUAUUUCUUCAAACUUAAUACAGCCGGGAUUCAAUCAUAAAUUUCGUGAAAUUAUGUACAAAAGCAUGAAACUGUAUUCACCCGGUUUUCGGUAAUACAUCUUGUGACAACAUGUUUUAAAAAUAAUGUGCUCGUUUCGUUGUAGUGCUUCGUUGCACCCUACUUUGGUCCAUGUGAAUUACCGUGUCGCUAAUGUAGACUAACCACAAUAGUUAUAUCAUCUCGUUAAGUUAAUGUGUUUUGCGACUCAAUGCGUAAACAUCAUAACUAGACAGAUCCUUUUAAAGCCCCAUUAACACUCAACAUCAACGAAUAUGUCGUUAAUUAUUUCGUAAAAUAACGUUAACCCAUACAAAAUCAGUGUUCCGUAUAUAAUAGCCAUAAUUUCAACGCUAGAUGUGGUCUGGUAACAAUGUAUCUUGUUAAAUCUAUGUUACCAUACCACAUCUAGCUUUCAUUCUGGCUGUUGUUUGUUUAGUAAAUACACAAUGGUCUGGUCUAAGGCUAUUUCUUGUUUGGCACAAAAGGUUAAAAUACUUCCUGAGGCACCCAUGCUUGUUUUUGAACACCAAAGAAGAUGGCUUAAUAUAUCCUCGCGUAAAAUAUGGUUAUGUUCACGUUCGUCGUUGUAAAGUAUUUCUUAUUGAGCUUUCACAAUAUGGUACAGGCCUAAAUGCACACAUAUGGAUUGUCCAGUGAUUUCCCGUUUCAUUAGUCCAGCUUGGAAACCCAUUGUACCUAGAAAAAGAUAUAAGGCCAAUCAUUUACACUAACAUACUCAGUCAAUUUUGGAAAAAGUUUUUUAGUAAAUAAAGAUGGAAAAGUAGGUUAUAUGUUUUAGAGGAUUGACAAAGAGACAUUCUUCCACUUCUUACAACCUCGGCAGUUUGAUUCAUCAUACAGGGGUCGUAUGACUGCCUCUUCUCUCCAACUUGACGGCUCAUUACUGCAAAAGAAAAACAAAACCAAUUAUUAUAAGUCAUCGGACAUGCAACAUAAAAAAGGAUCAAAUUUAGUCAAUCGUUCGGUAUUUGGAUCAGUCCUUGAAUGUGAAAAACUGGCUGCACCUUUACCUCAAAAUUGCACCGAAAAGAAAGAGAAAGGAAGUGAUGUCAAACUAAUUACGUUAGAUUCCUGAUAUCUUUUACGGCACAAGAUUGGAUAAGAAAUUUAUAUGGUGUUUGGAAUCAGGAACAUGGUCGGAUUAUGAAGCACCCGCUCUAAGCAAAAAUAUAAAAUUGUAAUUCGAAAUAUGAUGCCUUUAGUCAGCCCUCACAAACCCAGUAUCUAUGUGGGUAGGUCAGUAAUAACAUAAAUGCAGCUGCAGAUGAAGAAUAAAAGGAUCACAACUCUCGUUAUUAAAGGCUUAACAAAGAUCUAGAAUAUUCUAGGUCUUUGGGUUUAAGCAUCAACUGACAGAAAUCAUCAUCGAUGAUAUGCACCAGGGAAUCUUACUGCUCCGCGAACGCGCGGAUGAAUAUAUAGAUUUACAGACAGCAGCCUGUAGUAUAAAACAGUAGUUCAAAUAAGGUUACGCAUAUGCAAACCGGUAAUUCUAACUCAAAGGUUACACCAGUAAGAUUUAAUUUUCGCAUAUGUAAACUCAAGAGUCUAAAGUUAAGACUCUCUUUUCAGUACCACUGUAACAUAAUUUUGGUUUGCACUAACAGUCAUCAAAAUUGCUAUUCGUAUGCGGAACUUGAAUAAAAACCAUCGUCUUUUUCAUGAGAUCUCUUUGGAUUCUAUUGUUUAACUGUUUCUGUUGGUUUUUUGUUGUUGUUGUUUUCCUUUUCUGUACGAUUAAAAAUAUUAAAACUGAA